rnacentral:lncRNA from 1 species
AACUCUGAUUUAAAACAUCAGUUUAACAUAGAUAAUGCUGGGACUGCAGCUUCGCCAGGUGGCCUUCCUCUCCCGGUCUCGGGAGGCGUCACCCCCAUCUUGUCCCCCCAAGAUCAAGCGAAAAGGGCAAAGUUAUCUUUUUUUUUUGCAAAAUUCAAACCUUUCCCUCCUUCCCAGGUCUGGGUCACUUGCGACCCUCCUCUCAGGCUGCUUCUGACAGGCCCAAGUCACAGCCAACUUCAGGGGAGCUGUGUUGGAUCCCUCCAAACUCCGGGAAUGAUGUGACCUCCCCGGCGCUCACCCUGGGCCUCUAGGUUAGACUCAGCCCAGACCCUGGCUCACAGGGAAGCAGAGCCCAUGGCUGGCCUCCACCCGCUCAGACGCCCGCACACAGGCCAGGGGAGGGCUUGGGGGCAGCUCUGGGAGGGUCCCUGUUUGCGCUGUGGGUGUCCAAGGCUGGGUGUGCAGAGCUGAGGUUGCCACACACCUGAGGGACUCUCGCAUAAGGAUGGCGCAGGGCUGGAAGCUGGACUGAGACAGUGAAUGAGACAGCGCUGCCGGCUCUCUCCGCGCCGUGGACUGGCUCCUAGGCAGUCUCACGAGCAAGUGUGCUGUUGCUCGUGCACGUGUGUUUUAACUGAGAUGUGAGCUGGCGCGUUUUCUCCACCCGGCUCCAUCUGCUGGGUCCCUCCACAUUGCUGCGCGUGUGCCUCCAGUGCCAUGGGGUCCCCACUGUGGGCAGCCCUGCAUUUUGCCCAACUGCCUCCCAAACCAUGGAACCCCAGUGACCUCCAACUUGCCGCCAUGACGAGCCACUCUCAUUCAUAUCCUCAAACACGGUGCUCUGAGCCCGAAUGAGGGUUUCUUUAGAGAGAUAUCUGGGGACCAAACUGUAGGGACAGAGCUCCCGUCUAAGGUGGGCCUGUGGUGAGGUCUCCCCAGUGGUACACUUUAAUCCCACAGCAGGGCUUGCAGGCCGCCCUGCUCCAUCCCCACCAACACUGGGCAGGAUCUAGCCUCCAAACCUUUGCCAGUCUAAUAGUAUAAAAUGAUAGCUCGGUGCUAUUUUGGUUUUGCAUUUCCAUGGUGAACAAUGAGUUUGAGAGUUUUUGUUCAAAAGUCCUUUGGGAGUUCGAGACCAGACUGGGCCACCAGGAGUUCAAGACCAGCCCGGGCAAUUCAGUGAGAUGUUCAUCUCUACAAAAAAUAAGAAAGAUAAAAAAUUAGCCAGGCAUGUUUGUGUGUGCCUGUGGUCCCAGCUCCUCAGGAGGCUGAGGUGGGAGGAUGGCUUGACCCCGGGAGGUGGAGGCUGCAGUGAGUUGUGAUCGUGUCAGUGCACGGCUAGCCUGGGCAACAGAGUGAGACCCCGUUUCUAAAAUAAAAAUAAAAAACAAAAGAG